rnacentral:miRNA from 1 species
CUCAUCGACCGGAAGGGAUUCCUUCCGGUUGAUGAGGUAUAGCUUCCUCAUCGACCGGAAGGACUCUCUUUGGUCAAUGAGGAAGCUAAACCUCAUCAACCGGAAGGAAUUCCUUCCGGUUGAUGAG